CUUUUUCUUAGCGAUGUAGCCGCGAGGUGAUGUGUUUCCAAAGCAACCACAAUCAUGAAUGUUUCCCUCGCUCCUGUUCUUUUUUUUUUAUCUCCCUGUGCCUCUGUAUACUCUGCACAGGCGCCAGACUGUAUACAGAUGCGGAAAAUGCAAGCGAAUUCCCACCCCGCCGGCAUUCAGCGCUGACUCGGACCCCCUAAAACCUUACAGGACACAUGAUGAGUAGCGGAUGACAGAACCUGCGCCUUGUUACCAGAUCACCAUGAAUCUCUCGCCAGCCCAUCACUUAAGCCGAGGAAACGUCACCCAAAAGCAGAUGGAGGUUGCUGUGGACCCUGGGCCGUGGGAGCCUCAAACUAUCGUGGUGGUGGUCAUUUUUGGCCUCGUGUGUCUGCUCCAUUUGACCGCGUUUCUCUACACCCUGUGUUUCCAGAAAUAUGGGAAUUCGGAAGCCAAAACCUUGGUACAUUCCUUACCCCAAAGUGGAGAAGACGGGGAAGAGUCAACGACCCAAAAAUAUCCAUCCCAUUCAGUCACCGAGCCCACCUAUAUUCCACAUAAAGACAAAAACCCAAUACUGAUAUACUUGUAAACAGGGCCCAGGACUAACAUUCUGAAAUGUCUUCAAAUCCAUAGCCUGACAUUCUCUUCUUAAAGCGGACAUAUUGUUUAAAAAAUGGAGUCUGGUUGACGCUCAAAAAAUUUAAUUGGGCCAACAAUAAAGACCGUAAACGUACGUAAGCCUUUUGGGACCUCAGAGGUCUCUUCUUUAGAUGAAAGGUCCCAAAUGCUUGUGUAACUUUACACCUUUACUUUGUAUGCCAAGUAAAAGGUAUUGACGUCAACCACAGCUUUAAUUUCCUCUUGGGCUAAUACAGCUUAUCUAAAAAAUAAUAA